rnacentral:rRNA from 1 species
GACGAACGCUGGCGGCGUGCUUAACACAUGCAAGUCGAACGCGGAAGCUCAGCUUUUGUUGGGUGGAUGAGUGGCGAACGGGUGAGUAACACGUGAGUAACCUGCCCCCUUCUUUGGGAUAACGCCCGGAAACGGGUGCUAAUACUGGAUAUUCACUGGUCUUCGCAUGGGGGUUGGUGGAAAGGGUUUUUCUGGUGGGGGAUGGGCUCGCGGCCUAUCCGUUUGUUGGUGGGGUGAUGGCCUACCAAUGCUUUGACGGGUAGCCGGCCUGAGAGGGUGACCGGUCACGUUGGGACUGAGAUACGGCCCAGACUCGUACGGGAGGCAGCAGUGGGGAGUAUUGUACAAUGGGCGCAAGCGUAAUGCAGCGACGCGGCGUGAGGGAUGGUGGCCUUCGGGUUGUGAACCUCUUUCGGUCAUGGUCAAGCCGCAACAAUGGUUGUGGUGAGGGUAGUGGGUAAAGAAGCGCCGGCUAACUACGUG